UCAGACGAUGCGUCAUGCAUAUCAAUAAGCGGAGGAAAAGAAACUAACAAGGAUUCCCCUAGUAACGGCGAGUGAAGCGGGAAGAGCUCAAAUUUGAAAUCUUAAAGGGUUUCCCUUUACGAAUUGUAGUUUAAAGAAGUGUUUUCUGUUGAGGUUUUGGUAAAAGUUCUUUGGAAUAGGACAUCAUAGAGGGUGAGAAUCCCGUAUUUGACCUUUACUUUCAACUUUGUGAUACACUUUCAAAGAGUCGGAUUGUUUGGGAAUGCAGUCCAAAAUGGGUGGUAAAUCUCAUCUAAAGCUAAAUAUUGGCGAGAGACCGAUAGCGAACAAGUACCGUGAGGGAAAGAUGAAAAGAACUUUGAAAAGAGAGUUAAACAGUACGUGAAAUUGUCAAAAGGGAAGCGUUUGACACCAGUGUUGUUUUUCUGAAAAUCAAUUAAAGAACUGUUUAUGCUAAGUUGUUUAGACUUUAUCAGCUAACUGUUUAGUUUUGAGCUUUUCUUUAAUGCACUUUUCAGUUAACAAGUCAACAUCAAUUUCUUUUGCUGUAAAAAAGCUUGAGGAAGGUGGCUUGAGAUUCGUCUUAAGUGUUUAUAGCCUCUUGCCUAUGCAGUCGGAGAGAUUGAGGUCUGCAGCGUAGAUCCUUCGGGGCUAAAUGCAUUUGUGCUUAGUUAUAGCAUUUUAUAGACAACUUGUUGACUAUGAUUUGUCUUGUAGCUUACUCGCUUAUGUUAUUUUACCUACGCUUAGGAUGUUGAAUCUGUGCGAGACUAC
rnacentral:rRNA from 1 species